rnacentral:rRNA from 1 species
AUAUCAUUAAGCGGAGGAAAAGAAACUAACAAGGAUGCCCCUAGUAACGGCGAGUGAAGUGGGCAAAGCUCAAGCUGAAAAUCGGAUCCCCAGGCGGGGUUUCGAAUUGUAGUCUAGAGACGCGUUCUCAGUGGCAACCCGGGUAUAAAUCUUUUGAAACAAGGUAUCAUAGAGGGUGAGAAUCCCGUCUUUGACUCGGAGAUUGCUGUGUACGAGGCGUGUUCGGCGAGUCGAGUUGCUUGGGAUUGCAGCUCUAAAUGGGUGGUAAAUUUCAUCUAAAGCUAAAUAGUGACGAGAGACCGAUAGCGAACAAGUACCGUGAGGGAAAGAUGAAAAGAACUUUGAAAAGAGAGUUAAAAAGUACUUGAAAUUGUUAAGAGGAAAGCACUGGAAACCAGUCGUGCCUGGCUCUAUAUUAACCGUCGACGGGCGAAGAGCGGUUGCAUCGGGAGCGCAAGCCCCGUGUGGUUGCUGGACGUUUAGUGGGCGGGUCCUGUAGGGUUAGGUGGGUUAGAAUCAGUUCGGGGUGCGGGAGAAAGCUGUUGGGAAGGUAGGGUUGAGGGGGUAACUCCAAGGCCUGUUAUAGCCCGGCAGUGCUACCGCGUUUUGGACUGAGGAGACAAAGUAGAAUGCGCGCCACAUGGCUGUCGA